rnacentral:rRNA from 1 species
AAUUGGUUAUUCGAAAGCAACAGGGAUUGCCUCAGUAACGGCGAGUGAAGCGGCAACAGCUCAAAUUUGAAAUCUGGCCCUAGGCCCGAGUUGUAAUUUGCACAGGAUGCUUUUGGUGCGGUGCCUUCCCAGUUCCCUAUAACGGGACGCCCCAUAGGGUGAGAGCCCCGUACCGGUGGACACCAAGCCUUUGUAAAGCUCCUUCUACGAGUCGAGUAGUUUGGGAAUGCUGCUCAAAAUGGGAGGUAUAUUUCUUCUAAAGCUAAAUACCGGCCAGAGACCGAUAGCGCACAAGUAGAGUGAUCGAAAGAUGAAAAGCACUUUGAAAAGAGGGUUAAACAGCACGUGAAAUUGUUAAAAGGGAAGCGCUUGUGACCAGACUUGCGUCCGGUGAAUCACCCAGCUCUCGCGGCUGGGGCACUUCGCCGGCUCAUGCCAGCAUCAUCUCGCUGUCGGGGACAAAAGCUUCAGGAACGUAGCUCUCUUCGGGGAGUGUUAUAGCCUGUUGCACAAUACCCUUCGGCGGGCUGAGGUACGCGCUCCGCAAGGAUGCUGGCAUAAUGGUCAUCAGCGACCCGUCUUGAAACACGGACCAAGGAGUCAACCUUAUGUGCGAGUGUUCGGGUGUCAAACCCCUACGCGUAAUGAAAGUGAACGCAGGUGAGAGCUUCGGCGCAUCAUCGACCGAUCCUGAUGUUCUCGGAUGGAUUUGAGUAAGAGCAUAUAGGGUUGGACCCGAAAGAAGGUGAAACUAUGCGCGUAUAGGGUGAAGCCAGAGGAAACUCUGGUGGAGGCUCGCAGCGGGUUCUGACGUGCAAUCGAUCGUCAAAUAUGCGCAUGGGGGGCGAAGACUAAUCGAACUUCUAGUAGCUGGUUC